rnacentral:rRNA from 1 species
UACGUAGGUGGCAAGCGUUGUCCGGAUUUACUGGGCGUAAAGGAUGUGUAGGCGGAUUUUUAAGUGAGAUGUGAAAUACCCGAGCUCAACUUGGGUGCUGCAUUUCAAACUGGAAGUCUAGAGUGCAGGAGAGGAAAGUGGAAUUCCUAGUGUAGCGGUGAAAUGCGUAGAGAUUAGGAAGAACAUCAGUGGCGAAGGCGACUUUCUGGACUGUAACUGACGCUGAGGCAUGAAAGCGUGGGGAGCAAACAGGAUUAGAUACC